rnacentral:rRNA from 1 species
UUCCAGACUCCUACGGGAGGCAGCAGUGGGGAAUAUUGCACAAUGGGGGAAACCCUGAUGCAGCGACGCCGCGUGAGCGAUGAAGUAUUUCGGUAUGUAAAGCUCUAUCAGCAGGGAAGAAAAUGACGGUACCUGACUAAGAAGCCCCGGCUAACUACGUGCCAGCAGCCGCGGUAAUACGUAGGGGGCAAGCGUUAUCCGGAUUUACUGGGUGUAAAGGGAGCGCAGACGGCAGUGCAAGUCUGGAGUGAAAGCCCGUGGCUUAACCGCGGGACUGCUCUGGAAACUGUGCAGCUAGAGUGCAGGAGAGGCAGGCGGAAUUCCUAGUGUAGCGGUGAAAUGCGUAGAUAUUAGGAGGAACACCGGUGGCGAAGGUGGCCUGCUGGACGACAACUGACGGUGAGGCGCGAAAGCGUGGGGAGCAAACAGGAUUAGAUACCCCGGUA